ACACAUGCAGUCUACUUGAAGUAACUUCGGUUAUGGAUGGUGGCGGACGGGUGAGUAACGCGUAAAGAACUUGCCCUUUAGCCUGGGACAACUGUUGGAAACGACAGCUAAUACCGGAUAUUAUGAAACCAAGGCAUCUUGGAUUUAUGAAAGCUAUAUGCGCUAGAGGAGAGCUUUGCGUCCUAUUAGCUAGUUGGUGAGGUAAUGGCUCACCAAGGCGACGAUAGGUAGCCGGCCUGAGAGGGUGAACGGCCACAAGGGGACUGAGACACGGCCCUUACUCCUACGGGAGGCAGCAGUGGGGAAUAUUGGACAAUGGACCAAAAGUCUGAUCCAGCAAUUCUGUGUGUUUGAUGAAGGCCUUCGGGUUGUAAAGAACUUUAAGUAGGGAAGAAGAAAGUGACGGUACCUACAGAAUAAGCGACGGCUAAAUACGUGCCAGCAGCCGCGGUAAUACGUAUGUCGCAAGCGUUAUCCGGAAUUAUUGGGCAUAAAGCGCGUCUAGGCGGUUUACUAAGUCUGAUGUGAAAAUGCGGAGCUCAACUCCGUAUUGCGUUGGAAACUGGUAGACUAGAGUAUUGGAGAGGUAGGCGGAACUACAAGUGUAGAGGUGAAAUUCGUAGAUAUUUGUAGGAAUGCCAAUGACGAAGGUAGCUUACUGGACAAAUACUGACGCUGAAGCGCGAAAGCUAGGGGAGCAAACAGGAUUAGAUACCCUGGUAGUCCUAGCUGUAAACGAUGAUCACUGGGUGUGGGGGGGUCGAACCUC
rnacentral:rRNA from 1 species